AGGGUUCGAUUCUGGCUCAGGAUGAACGCUGGCGGCGUGCCUAACACAUGCAAGUCGAACGAAGCACUGUCGAAUGAGGAUUCGUCUGAAUUUGGCUUUGACUUAGUGGCGGACGGGUGAGUAAUGCGUGAGCAACCUGCCUUUCAGAGGGGGACAACAGUUGGAAACGACUGCUAAUACCGCAUGACAUAUUGAGAUCGCAUGGUUUUAAUAUUAAAGAUUUAUCGCUGAAAGAUGGGCUCACGUCUGAUUAGUUAGUUGGUGAGGUAACGGCUCACCAAGACUGCGAUCAGUAGCCGGACUGAGAGGUUGAACGGCCACAUUGGGACUGAGAUACGGCCCAG
rnacentral:rRNA from 1 species